GUGACUGUGGGAUAGCAGGUAUAGUAGGGAGAGAUGGUGUCUAUAGUAACAGUGGAUAAUAGUCUCUGGGAAGUCUCCAGCAUUGUUGAGAGACUUCAGGGAACCAACUAUGCAAUUUGCUUGGAGUAUGGAACCAGAAAAACAUCGUUUUAUACAGACUUUCUUGCUGCCUAACACAUAACACAUUUCUCCUUGCAGUUCUCCCAUAUGUCUUCCCAAAUUUAUAAUGAUAUUUUUUGAGAAAGAGUCUCGUCCCAUUUCAGCAUAUACUUGUGUUUAGGGAAUAGAUCCAUUGGUAAAUCUGUUAAAAGCAUAUAAAUUGUAGAGAUCAGAGCUCUUUGUGGGAGACCAGCCUGACAUAAUCGCUCAAAUCUCGUGAAUGUGGUUGCCCUUGGCUAGAUGGAAUCGUCUGACAGAAAUGGACAAUUUGCAGAAAAACCUGUGAUGACGUCGGCAGUGGAGCUCACGGAUGAUCUAGUCAAAGAAUAUCUCACGUUCAGGGGAUUCACCAACACUUUAAAGUACUUUGAGGCCGACAUCAAAGCAGACAAAGAUAAAGGAUUCCGUCCCACUUCUGAUGACGUCACUUCUCGUUUCCAGCAACGGCACUUCCUGCUUUAUGGUGG